UUACGGCCACAUCACGUUGAAACACCGGUUCACGUACGAUCAUCGAAGUUAAGCAUUUCGAGCUUGUCCAGUACGAAUAUAGAAGACCGUCUGGGAAUACCAGGCGCGGCAA